GAGAGAGGAGCUCUCAACUAGAGAGAGAGAGAGAGAGAGAGAGAGAGAGAGAGAGUCCAAGCCAUGAAACUCACGGCCAUGGCUGAGCUAGAGCAAGCUCACAAAGUUGAUAUCAAACACUAAUUUUCUAAGGUGUUCCACUCAAUUGAAGGCCAUAGUAACGUGAAUUUAAUCCUUUGGAGCAACAAGAAUACUUGCCAUUUUAAUUCACCAAUUUCAGCAAAUUAAGGAGUCAAGUUAUUAAGGUUGAGACACUUUGGGCAGCGUAUACGUAUUGUGUUACGGAUAAGCGCUAAAGGUGCAGAUACUCGCUUUGGUGAUCCGCUAGCUUAGGACUUCUAUUCAGCUGUCUUGGAGUGCUCCAUUGUCCCGGAACCUAGACUUUUGGUACAGAUCCUUUUGAUGUACAUAUAUGUUUAUCCAGGAGUACGGCGGGAACCCUGUCCCGUCAUAUGUCACUGUUGAUACUCUUAGAGGUCUGUAGACAUAUGUGUGGGUUGUAUAUAUAUGUUGUUCAGUUGUGCCUAUAUGACUUAUAUUUUGGGACGUUCCCAUUCGUAGUGGCAGCCUUGUCGGCUUGCGUAUAUACAUAUUUUGGGAUGUUAUAUGUAGUGGCAGCCUUGUCGGCUUGCGUAUGUAUAGUUGGGACGUUCCCAUUCGUAGUGGCAGCCUUGUCGGCUUGCGUAUAUACAUAUUUUGGGAUGUUAUAUGUAGUGGCAGCCUUGUCGGCUUGCGUAUGUAUAGUUGGGACGUUCCCAUACGUUAUGACAACCUUGUCGGCUUGUGUACUAUGUUAUCUUUUGAUGGUUGUGACUCCUCAGGAGACAGGUUGCCUUGAUAUGUAUAUGUGACAGUCCCGAGACAACGUUUCAUUUUUAUAGGUUCCAUAUUAUGUUUGGUUGUGAAUUGAUUAUAGAUAACAGGUGUGUACACGAGUGUCCAGUUCGGGCACUAGUCACGGCCUACGAGAUUAGGUCGUGACAGUAUGAAGCCCAUGGGACAAUAUUAUAAAUAGGGCUCAUUGCUCUACUUUUGAGGGGUUGACUUCCUCAUAUCAAGACAUUUUGUACAAGAAAAUAUA